AACGAACGCUGGCGGCGUGGAUAAGACAUGCAAGUCGAACGGAUUUUCUGGUGUAGCAAUACAUUAGAGAGUCAGUGGCGCAAGGGUGCGUAACACGUGGGCAACCUGCCCUGGAGUUGGGGAUAGCCCGCCGAAAGGCGGAUUAAUACCGAAUGCGGCUACCGGAUUCAUUUUCGGGACGCUAAAGGUGGCGCAAGCUACCGCUCUGGGAUGGGCCCGCGGCCUAUCAGCUAGUUGGUGAGGUAACGGCUCACCAAGGCGAUGACGGGUAGCUGGUCUGAGAGGACGACCAGCCACACUGGAACUGAGACACGGUCCAGACACCUACGGGUGGCAGCAGUCGAGAAUUUUUCUCAAUGGGGAACCCUGAAGGAGCGACGCCGCGUGGAGGAUGAAGGUUUUCGGAUUGUAAACUCCUGUCAUUGGUGAACAAGACGUCCCGUUAACUGCGGAGGCGUUUGAUAGUAGCC
rnacentral:rRNA from 1 species